UAGGGAAUCUUCGGCAAUGGACGAAAGUCUGACCUAGCAACGCCGCGUGAGUGAAGAAGGUUUUCGGAUCGUAAAACUCUGUUGUUAGAGAAGAACAAGGACGUUAGUAACUGAACGUCCCCUGACGGUAUCUAACCAGAAAGCCACGGCUAACUACGUGCCAGCAGCCGCGGUAAUACGUAGGUGGCAAGCGUUGUCCGGAUUUAUUGGGCGUAAAGCGAGCGCAGGCGGUUUCUUAAGUCUGAUGUGAAAGCCCCCGGCUCAACCGGGGAGGGUCAUUGGAAACUGGGAGACUAGAGUGAAGAAGAGGAGAGUGGAAUUCCAUGUGUAGCGGUGAAAUGCGUAGAUAUAUGGAGGAACACCAGUGGCGAAGGCGGCGAUCUGGUCUGUAACUGACGCUGAGGCUCGAAAGCGUGGGGAGCAAACAGG
rnacentral:rRNA from 1 species